rnacentral:lncRNA from 1 species
AUGCUUUCUCGGCUCUGGAGAAGACCAGAGGGCUCGUUCCCUUGUGAACAGCAUGUCACUCAAAGCACUGUCUCCCUAAGCCAGGGAAGGGGACAGCCAGGCAGCAGGCACUCGAGGACUUCCUGCAGUCACUCUGCCAGACACUCCCAGGAGGACAGGAGCAGCUUCCUGGGUGUCGGGGUGAGCCAACCCUUUGAGGUUUACACGAGCACCCGGGCUGCCAGCACCCUUGUCACACGGCUCCCACUCCUUCGCCACUCCAUGUCUCUUGUCCCAGAGGGACGCACCUGGCCACCCUGUGGUCUCAUCGUACACUCUGAGCACUGUCACGGGAGAAAUACGCGAGCCUUACAGCAAUCCCUGAGACUGAAUCUUAAGGGGAUAAAGACACCAAGCACCAAAACCAGGGGGAGUUCAGGAGCCUUCUGCUCUGGAGCUUCUCAAAUGCUAGCGAAGGAGCCCUUCUCCAGAAAGACACCAGGGCCUUCAUCAGCAGGGACGCCACUGUGGAAGCAGACAUCGCCGCUACAAAAGGGCAGCGUGGGAGAUGAAUUGCAUGCUAUCAGACUCGACAUCGUAGAAGCAAUCACACCGCUUUGCUCGCAUUAUCUCGGGUGGAAAGGAGUGAGUGGGAGAGGGCGUCCUGGCCCUGGCUCCAGUGGGGAGGAGCCACGGAGCCGAGAGGAGGCUUGGGACCCUGUGUGCGCCUGUCCCCAUCCCAGGCCAAGUUCCCUGGCUCCCUGGGCCCCUUCUCUGUCCACAGCACCUGCCACAACCCAUGUGCUCACUGAGUCUGCAAAACACAUGGAGACGAAGCAGAGACGCACGGCAGCCGCUUUGCACUCCAACCCGACCAUGGCGCCUGGACACAGGAGGCAAAGGGAGAGGGACCAAGGCGGCCACAGGCUGCUCCAAGGGUCUGCUCCCGGCCCAUCAGUGAAGGGAGGAAGCCCAGGUGUCCAGUGGGGACGGAGAAGGGGCAGCACACGGCAUAGGUCCUUCCCCAAGGCCUGCUUGGCCAGGGGUGGAGACACAGCUCAGGCACUUUGCAAAUUGGAGGAGGACCAGCGAGCCCAGGCCCAGCCUUCUACCCGAGGAGGUGCUGCCUGGCCCGCUGGAGCUGCUGUCAGGAGCAGCAGGAGGCAGUGCCUCUUGGGCUUCUCUGCACCCACAGCAAGGAGCACAGUCGCUGCCAACCUCGGACCACCCUCCCGGGCACCAGAUGCCACAAGCACACCCUCUCAUCAACCUCACUGUGUCCUGGGUGUAACGCAUGGCCACUGCCACCUUCAGGGUCCAGAGAGAGUCUGAUGCCUGCCCAGGGUCCCACAGAAAGAACCAAGACAAGCUCCGCUUUUCCUCUUUCUUUCUUUCUUCCUUUCUUUCUUUGUGGUAGUAGGGACUGAACCCCAGGCCUUUGUGCCAAGCUACAUCCUCCACCCCCUUUUUAUUUUGAGACAGGGUCUCACUGAGUCUCAGAGUUGCCCAGGCUGGGCUCAGACUUUCGAUCCCCCUGCCUCAGCCUCUCAGAGUGCUGGGAUUACUUACUGGAGUGUACCAGCGUGCCUGGCCAAGCUCUGGUUUUCUGAUCUCAAAUUCCUCGUUCCCUCUUCUGUACUACUGAGCAUCUUAAACAGUGUGGAGUUCAGAGCAUGAGGAGGCCCUCAUCUUCAUUUAUUCUGAGCCCAUCCUUUGACAGUAGAGGCCCAGGAAGGACAAAGCCAAUGGGGUCUCCUGCCCUGGCCCUCUGCCCACACCAGGCCUCCCCCUACCCCAGACUGGAUUUCCUCUCCACUGCAGACACAGCUGUGGCAGUUUGCAGCUGUUUACCGGCAGUCAGAUGGAGGAGGAACUUAAGUAGAAUAUAAACUAUCAAAUUAAAUUCCCCUCUUCAAAUGCCACCAGAUUUGCUCUACCUGAGAAUUUCAAUCAAUGCCUGUAACUUCUUCCUGCUCCUUAAAGCGAUGCAACAGACACAUUUUUUGCCUGCAUCCAUGCUGCACCACUGCCGUGGCAAAUGCUGUUAGAGGGAGGGAAGGAGAUGUCCACGCGGAUGGGUAUUACAAUGCAUCACCUGGCAGCGCGGCUCUCUCGAGCUCUGGGCCAUGCCAUUAAGUAGACUGGGACAGCUUCAUUUCCCAAGCCGGGGUAUCAGACAGAGGCAGCCGCAAGGGAGUGGCCAGGGCUGUCUGGGAGGAGGGGAGGGGCCCAUCCUUCAGGACAUUUCUUAAG